rnacentral:miRNA from 1 species
CUGCCAGCCCCGUUCCAGGGCA